rnacentral:lncRNA from 10 species
UACAAGGUAGCCGUUUGGCGUCGUGAGUAUGUGCCAAAUCUACUAGACAUUGGAGAAACAGUAGGAACAACACAUGGUACCGGCACAUGGAUCUUUCAGGAAAACGAAGUAGGUAAUAAACAGGAAAAAGCCCGAGUCUGAUGCUAAGAAGAACAUAAACAGGAUGCUGAGAGAUUGGGUCUCUCCACAUUGCCCCGGCUGCUCUCCAACCCCUGAGUUCAAGUGAUUCACCUCCCUUGGCCUCCCAAAGUACUGGGAUUACAGGCGUGAGCCACCGUGCCUGGCUGAGAAGAUGGAUUUAAGACAUAUUUUGGAGCGGAAAGUGACCAGAAGAGGUGUGCAGUUUCCAGGCCUGGCCCAUACAGACCUCCAACAGGUGCUCCCCUGUGCUGUUACUCCUUCUGCCAACUGGAAGCAGAUGGUGACCAGGCUCUGGAGAAGGCAAGGCCUGAAGAUGGGAGAUUCCUAAGUGGAGGAGAACUGUGCCUUACUGACCUAAAUAUCCACUCAGUAUUGUUAUGUGAGAAUAAAUAAACUUGUGUU